GCCCCAGUAGUGUAGUGGUAGAACCUCCAGCCUCUCAAUCCUCCAAAACGCUAAGGAAAUGGUAUGGAUUGAUAGGCUGGAGUCCCGGGUUCGAUUCCUGGCUGGGGUA